rnacentral:lncRNA from 1 species
UGCUCCACCGGCUCCUUUGUGCAUAUGGCCCCAAUGCACGCUUCCAGGCCAGACGUGUUCCUUCUGUACCGCCUGUCGCCAUACUGGUGCUGCCUCUUCUCCAUGUGUUGUACCGUACUACUUGGUCUGACACUAAGCCUUUACUGUGCGCGGCCGGGCAGUAACGUCAAGGAGACACUCCACCUUACGAGUCCACUCAUGUUGAAGUUCUGGCGCAGAGUUGGGCUUAUGCCUCCUUUGAGGGCGCAUGCUGUUUCCAUCGAAGUCAACGGGCGAGAAUGCAAUGCGACAACCACUGAACUGAAACCAUUGCGGGCAGAAGAAAGAUUUGCGUGAUUAAAUUCAAUAUCUUCGGCUACUGUCAGACAGACACUUAUAAUUGGUUCGUCCUCAGUCACAAGUGUUUGCAGAGCGCGUAUCGCGCCUUCCAAUAAGAAUAAUAAU